ACUGCCGUAACGCCUGUGGACCCGUCUGAACGGGCUCUGGCUGCCGAUGCCGGCAGGCGAGCUACACCGGAGCUGCCGGGCCGGAGCUGACCCCCGAGCACGGCCCGCACCCGGGGGACACGCUGGACCAGUGGGUGUCGGCCUUUCUGGUGUACGCCAGCGUGGUGUGCGAGAAGCACCCGGCGCGCUGCGGGGCCAUGUUCAAGUACCUGGACACCAUCCGUAAGCUGCACGCCACCUACGGGGGCACCUCGUGGAUGAACUACGACGAGGACUUCCGGCGGCGGGCGGCCAAGGACCCCAACCUGCCGUGGGGCGACGUCGACCUGGACCUGUGGAUGAAGUGGAUGGCCCCUCUCAAGUCGCUCCUCAGCAGGCACAAUCGUAUCGAGAGCGAGCCGAAGGCCGCGCCGCCGGCACAGCCACCGCCUUCAUCGUCGUCGUCAUCCCAGAGCCCCAAGAAGGAGGAGAAGAGCCAGACUCCGUGAAAGCAGAAGGCCAGUUGGAAUGGCAGGCAGGAUAAGCGGCCUGACUCCGUUGGUGUUUAAGUGGAGCUCUGGUAUUCUAGUGCAUUCUUUUACCUCUGCUUCUGUUGCGUUGCAAGCUGUGCUAGAGAAGACGUAGGAAAUUCAUUUUACCCAAUCAGCAAUUGUAACAAUGGACUACAAACCUGCAGAGCAAGCCAGUUUGCUGGAAAACAGGAAUUCCUGCAGCGCAGCACUUGUCACAGACUAUCCAAAGAGGGCAAAGAUUCAGGAGAGUGAAUAAAUUGAACAUUGAUUGAAUGAGGUCAGGAACGAUCUCCCGGAGGAGAGCCCUGCCCUAAAAUACUACUUUGAGAGUAUAAGCCAAUUUAAUGCGCAGAUUAACCCUUCUCAUUUGAGCAAACUUGUGUGCAAUCCUGGAUCUUUGCAGAUCACGACUGGACACUUCAAAAAAAAAACAAAAUCUGUGUACUAUAUUUGCUUAAAAAAUAAAUCCUACCUUGUCUUGUUACACCUGUUAAUUUUAGCAUUUCAUUGACAAUAUCUGCAACAGAAAUGUAUAUUUGACUUGACGCAGUAUCCUACAUUUGGUAUAACUCAGGUUGUUGACAAAAUUAUUCUGUGAGGCUCAGUACCACCUCUUCGUUCUGCUCUGAACAAAGUUCUUUAACCAUUGCUGUCAUUUCCAGAAGUAAUUUAUAGCCCAUGUAUGCAUUGCAAAAUUCUUGAACGGAUUUAAUAGCUGACCUAAAUUAUUGUUCUUGUUUUAUCCUCAUAGAAUAGUUAGCAUCUUGAACGUCAGACCAGACUUUUGUGGUCUGACGUUCAUGAAAAUCAUUCAUUGGUUCAUGGUUUAAUUGUUUUACAUCUCCGUAUUUUGUUUUCUUUUCCUCUCCCCUCGCAUACUAGGGAGUAUGAUCAAGGUAAUACUAUGAUCCAGUAACGCGCUUGAUGGUAAGGGUUUGCCUUUAGUUGUUUCAGGAAAAAAAAACCAACUGCCAUUAUCUGCUCUCCUUUAACUUUCUUGAUAGUUUCAAUAAUAUGCUUAACAUGAAGUGUUUGUAAAUCGAUUAAAAAAAAAAUGUUUGUGACUUCACCUAAAUAAAUUUUUAUAUAUAUG
ensembl:lncRNA